rnacentral:rRNA from 1 species
GACGAACGCUGGCGGCGUGCUUAACACAUGCAAGUCGAACGGAAAGGCCCUGCUUUUGUGGGGUGCUCGAGUGGCGAACGGGUGAGUAACACGUGAGUAACCUGCCCUUGACUUUGGGAUAACUUCAGGAAACUGGGGCUAAUACCGGAUAGGAGCUCCUGCUGCAUGGUGGGGGUUGGAAAGUUUCGGCGGUUGGGGAUGGACUCGCGGCUUAUCAGCUUGUUGGUGGGGUAGUGGCUUACCAAGGCUUUGACGGGUAGCCGGCCUGAGAGGGUGACCGGCCACAUUGGGAAUGAGAUACGGCCCAGACUCCUACGGGAGGCAGCAGUGGGGAAUAUUGCACAAUGGGCGGAAGCCUGAUGCAGCAACGCCGCGUGCGGGAUGACGGCCUUCGGGUUGUAAACCGCUUUCGCCUGUGACGAAGCGUGAGUGACGGUAAUGGGUAAAGAAGCACCGGCUAAAUAAGUG